rnacentral:misc_RNA from 1 species
CCCUCGGGGCCCAACCUCCCACCCGUGUAUACCGUACCUUGUUGCUUCGGCGGGCCCGCCGCGCAAGCGGCCGCCGGGGGGGCGUCAAACCCCCCUCCCUAGGCGAGCGCCCGCCGGAGACACCAACGUGAACACUGUCUGAAGUUUUGUUGUCUGAGUUCGAUUGUAUCGCAAUCAGUUAAAACUUUCAACAAUGGAUCUCUUGGUUCCGGCAUCGAUGAAGAACGCAGCGAAAUGCGAUAAUUAAUGUGAAUUGCAGAAUUCAGUGAAUCAUCGAGUCUUUGAACGCACAUUGCACCCCCUGGUAUUCCGGGGGGUAUGCCUGUCCGAGCGUCAUUGCUGCCCUCAAGCACGGCUUGUGUGUUGGGUCGUCGUCCCCCCGGGGACGGGCCCGAAAGGCAGCGGCGGCACCGCGUCCGGUCCUCGAGCGUAUGGGGCUUUGUCACCCGCUCUUGUAGGCCCGGCCGGCGCUGGCCGACGCUGAAAAGCAACCAACUAUUUCUCCAGGUUGACCUCGGAUCAGGUAGGGAUACCCGCUGAACUUA